rnacentral:rRNA from 1 species
CCUACGGGUGGCAGCAGUGGGGAAUAUUGGACAAUGGGGGAAACCCUGAUCCAGCGACGCCGCGUGCGUGAAGAAGUAUUUCGGUACGUAAAGCUCUAUUAGCAGGAAAGAAAAUGACGGUACCUGACUAAGAAGCCCCGGCUAACUACGUGCCAGCAGCCGGGGUAAUACGGAGGGGGCAGGCGUUAUCCGGAUUUACUGGGUGUAAGGGGAGCGUAGACGGCAGCGCAAGCGUGGAGUGAAAUGCCGGGGCCCAACCCCGGAACUGCAGUGGAAACCGGGGAGCUGGAGUGCAGGGAAGGCAGGCGGAAUUCCUGGUGUAGCGGUGAAAUGCGUAGAUAUGAGGAAGAACACCGGCGGCGAAGGCAGCUUGCUGGAGUGGAACUGACGUUGAGGCUCGAAGGCGUGGGGAGCGAACAGGAUUAGAUACCCUUGUAGUC